rnacentral:lncRNA from 1 species
CUCUGGCAGGAGAUUACAGUUUAUCUGGGAGGUAUGUAUUCAGUUAACAAGCCUAUUCUAAAACUCCUUUUCAGAAAGUUUGCUUACAUCAAAAUUACUGAGAUAACAUAUGCUCCUGUUUCAAGUAAGAUGGAGUAAAUGCAUCCCACUCUAUCUUUCCUACUUAUUGCAACUAUAAAAUGUGCACAGAAUGCAUUAUGCAGCCAUUUGACAACAGUGAAAAGCAAACAAUAGUUGGCAGACUCAGGAAGAAGAUGAGUAUUUGAAGUACUGCCAUAUCAUAGUCCUCAGGCAAUCCUGAAACAAUGGGGCUCACAGGACUAAAUCUCUGAGAAAAGAUAAACUCUUCGGAAUAGAGGAGCAGUGGUCCCAAGAGGACUAAGUAGCAGUGAAAAGGAAGAAAAAAAGAAGACAGUGCCUACUUUCUGAGACAUUUCCAAAUAUCAGUGUGAAAAAGACUACCAGAGGUCAGCAGAACAGAAGAGUUUCUUCCUGCUGAAGGAUUCAUUAUAGAAGAGAAUAAAUGAUUAUCAAGAGGACUGAAAGCAAACUGUCUAUUCUACUGGUUGCCGAGUAUCAAAUAUCAUGGAUGGUCUGGCUUUUGGGAAGCAUCAACAAGACUGCCCUCAACUGUGGGAUUACAUACAUAGCACUGGUGGUCAAAAAUAAAGAAGUUUUCACUGCCAGCUCCAGCACAAAAUCCAAGCUCUUCAAAUGCAGAAAGCAUGUUGUAUUCAUCUCUGCAUUUUUAGAAUCCAGAAUUUUCACAAGGUAUGUGUCUAAUAAAAUUACUGAAUGAAUGAGUUGAGAGGGUGUGGAGUUUAUGGCUGUGGUUAGGUUUUCAUUGCAUUGUUUACAAGGUAUACAUAAUCAUAAUCAAAAUAAUUGCAUGUAUCCUUCAUUAAUAAGUUACUAAUAAAGACAUAAUAUCUAAAUACUUUGCGUGUACCACCUCAUUUAAUUCUUCCAAUAUUUUCUGCAUUUUAUAGUAUUUCUUCACUUUUCCCUUCUCUCCUGCUAUUGCUUUUUUAGAUAGAGGAAAUAAGAGUUAAAGAUAGGAAGUAAAUGAAAGUUAAAGAGGUCAAGUAAUAUUUCCCAGUUACUUACCCAACUAGUGUCAGAAUCAUCAGUAUUUUACUGUUUAUAAUGUAGCUUUUCUGAAUGUUUUAUAGUCGCUUACAGAAAUGUAUACAGGAAGCAGUGUAUAAUUUUGGCAACUUCAUUGUUGAACAUCAUCUGCAGGUAUUGAUCUGACAGUGUAUGUCAGGAUCAGGUGGGUUUACUCUGCCCUGACUUGGGGCUGCUAGAUAUCCAAGUACUACAAAUUGCUUGUUGUGCUAUUGCUACACCUCACAUUUAUUAUUCUGUAUUUCGUACAGAAAUGCACAUUUUAUGGAAGCAUUUUUUCUCCUGCUCUGUUAGCUUCUUCCUAGGAAAUGCUACUAAACUUGUGUCACGUACCCUGUCUUGCAG